rnacentral:rRNA from 1 species
GAAAAGAAACCAACAGGGAUUGCCCUAGUAACGGCGAGUGAAGCGGCAACAGCUCAAAUUUGAAAUCUGGCUUCGGCCCGAGUUGUAAUUUGCAGAGGAUGUUUCUGGCGCGGUGCCUUCCGAGUUCCCUGGAACGGGACGCCACAGAGGGUGAGAGCCCCGUAUGGUUGGAUACCAAGCCUGUGUGAAACUCCUUCGACGAGUCGAGUAGUUUGGGAAUGCUGCUCAAAAUGGGAGGUAAAUCUCUUCUAAAGCUAAAUACCGGCCAGAGACCGAUAGCGCACAAGUAGAGUGAUCGAAAGAUGAAAAGCACCUUGAAAAGGGGGUUAAACAGUACGUGAAAUUGUUGAAAGGGAAGCGCUUGUGACCAGACUUGCGCCGGGCGGUUCAUCCGGGGUUCUCCCCGGUGCACUCCGCCCGGUUCAGGCCAGCAUCGGUUCUCGUUGGGGGAUAAGAACGGCAGGAACGUGGCCCUCCUUCGGGAGGGUGUUAUAGCCUGCCGUACGAUACCCUGACGGGGACCGAGGUU